CUAGAGAGAGUGAUGCAGUAUUGACUCUGAUGUUGAUUUGAGUUGUCUCAUUCUGUAUUUUUGUUCUUUGUCUUUUGCUAUAGAGUGAACAGAUCUUUGGUUUUGCCUUUUCUGACUGCUGAUCUGAUCGUCUCAAAUCUGGUGACCUGUUGCAGAAAGCCCUCUCCCUCUAUCAUUAACAAGCAAUUCAGUCUGUCCUAUCACUCUCCCCACUCUAUCUAUUUUGACAAGCCAUUCUAUCUUGUAUCACUCUAUCCCAAGAGCUCUAUCUAAUUUACCAAAAAUCACGUUUUGACUGAGAUCAAGUUUUGACUGGAAUCAAGUUUUGUCUGGAAUAAUCAAGCUUUGACUGGUCCCAGUUUUUGGGAAAUUGAAGUUACCAGUACUUCAUCUAUCUGUUACAGAAUUCUGAGAGAUCUCUGCUCUCACUGCUCCUUCUUUCCUGUUGUUAGACUCUCUCACCUCCAGUCAUUUUGCUGGAAAUUACAAGUAGAAAGUUGAAUAUACAGUACAGUACAGUACAGUACAACUUAUAGUAGAAACUACUUACACAACCCUACAUUUUAAUUUUGCAUUACACUUUGGAAUUAACAGUGAUAGUUUGGCUUUCUUUGAUAAAUUAUAUAAAAUAUCACCUUUUUAAAAGUUUAUUUGUAAUAAGAUAAUCUGGUUAUUUUGUAAUACAUACAUUCAGAUAAAUACAUUCACAUAAAUAAGAAAUGGGAUCCAAAUACAUUUUGCUAGUCUGUUUUGUUGGCUAUAACAGUUGACUGCAAGUUUAUACUAUUAUUAUUUAAGGACAAACCCAUUUUUGUCACUCAGUGUAAGUAGUAUCAUCAUCAGUUAGUAUCAUCGAGAAGCUGCCUGAGGACCCAGAGUUCCUGUUUCCUGACUGCUGCAGAAAAUCCAGCUGAAGAAUCCUCAUCGCCUGUCAUCUGAUCAUCACACCACCACAGCUCCAUAUAUUUGAUUUAAAUUUUAGAUAUCUGAAAGAUUUACAUAAACUCCCUUAAGAGCUAAGACUUUUAUUAUAGCCUGUUGAUUGUUGAGAUUUAUUCUGCAUAUCAAUUUACAGGAGUUGUAAUUAUUUACCAGUCGGGUUAAAAAAAUAUAAGUAAAAUUAUACAGUUUCUAAAAAAGCUACAAUA